AUGACAAUCGUUUUCUGGUUAACUCGUCAAGGCUUUAGGAACGACAGUGAUGGUCGUGAUAAAGGGAAAAGUGAUGUUGAGUCUGAACCCUCACGGGCUCCGGACUUGAGGAACUUAUAUGCUCCUGGCCCGUCCACGCUGGUACCUCAGAGGAGUGAUCGUGAUGGCCGUGACAAGGGGAUAAGUGAUGAUGAUGUUGAACCCUCAUGGGCUCUGGACUUGUGGAACUUCGAUGCUCCUAGCCCGUCCUCGUUGAGUUCUAAUGGGUGGGCCAAUGGGCAAGGGUCAUCUCCUUCUUUAGUCAAGAGAUAUGUGGCAAUGGGUUUCCCAAAAGAAAUGGUCGUGACAAGCAUCAAGGAGAUUGGGCAUAGUGACGAAAAUGCAUUGCUUGAGUUACUGUUGACCUAUAAGGCAAUAGGUGAUGAAGAUACAUUGGGUAACGUCUCUACUUCUGGCUGCACCCUCCAUAGAGUUGAAGAUGGUGAUGAUCUUGAUUUUGAGAGCUCGGAUGGUGAUGAUGAUGCUGGUGAUACAGAGCCCAACUUUGGUGAUUAUAGUGAUGAGGAUUUUUUACAAGAAAUGUCUGAGAAGGACGAGAAAAUCAACUCAUUAGUAGAUAUGGGAUUUUCUGAAGAUGAAGCUAAUAUGGCUAUUAUAAGAUGUGUGGAUGGUGAUCUCUUUGUAUUAGUUGAUUCGAUUAGUGCAUCACGGGUUGCAGGAAAUUUGGACUUAUCUAACCAUCAGGUUACGGGAAGAUGCUUCGAUUCUUUGGAGGGAGAAAGAAAGCAAAGGUUGGUGGAAGAGAGAAAGAAAAAAAGGAAGCGAUGUGGAUGUACUGGACAGAGCAAUCAACCCUCUUUGGAUUGCAACCAUGAUGAACAGAUGCUUCUUCCAAAUCCAAUGGUUGGAUUUAACCUGCCCAAUUAUAGCCCAUCAUCAGUUAGGGUGACUAGAACGAUUCUUGAACAAGAUAUGGGACGACCUUAUUUCUACUACGAAAAUGUGGCUAGAGCUCUCACAGGUGUAUGGGCGACCAUUUCAAGAUCUCUGUAUGACAUUCAACCUGAGUUCGUAGAUUCCAAACAUUUGUGUGCAGCUGCAAGGAAAAGAGGCUACAUACAUAACUUGCCUAUUGAGAACAGAGCACCUCUUCUUCCUUCUCCUCCAAUGACCAUAUUUGAGGCAUUCCCCCGUUACAAGAAGUGGUGGCCUUCCUGGGAUCAGAGAACACAGUUCAACUGCUUGCUAACAGGUGUGGCAGGUCCAACGCUGACUGGAAAGAUUGGGCGUGCUCUUGCAAGUGCGGGCACUCCACCAUCUCAAAGUAUUCAAAAGUAUGUCAUCGAUCAGUGCAAAAGGUACAAUCUUGUCUGGGUCGGAAAAAAUAAGGUUGCUCGAUUGGAGCCUCAAGAGAUUGAAUAUCUACUUGGUUUUCCAAAGGACCACACAAGGGGACUAGGCGACACAAAUAGAUACAAAUCUCUAGGCAACUCAUUCCAUGUUGAUACUGUUGCUUACCACUUGUCAGUGCUAAAAGGCAUGUUUCCCAAUGGUGUUAAUGUGCUGUCCUUAUUCACUGGUAUUGGAGGAGGAGAGGUAGCUUUGCACAGGUUGGGAAUGAACAUGAGGACAGUGGUUUCUGUUGAAAUAGACAAAGCUAGUAAGAGGAUUUUCAGGGAUUGGUGGAAUCAGACUCAAACAGGCACACUGAUUGAGAUUGAUGAUGUGAAAUCUCUUACUGAUGAUCAAGUUGCAACAUAUGUUACUACAUUUGGCGGCUUCGACUUGGUGAUUGGGGGCAGCCCAUGUAACAAUCUUGCUGGGUGUAACCGAUCCAGCCGUCAUGGCUUGGAGGGCAAGCAAUCUGUUUUGUUCCACCAUUAUGUCAGAAUAUUGAAUGUCGUCAAGUCGGCUAUGGCCAGGAAGUAG
rnacentral:rRNA from 1 species